rnacentral:lncRNA from 1 species
UUCGGCCAUCCUCUAGCUGCAGAGAACACACACCAUUGUAGAGUAGGGCGUCUCUCUUCGGAUGAUACGGUGGAGGCGGCCAGUGGCGACACUCCGUCCUGGAUAAUGGUCAACUACCGUCUCUCGUUGCAUGACCAGUGUUGCCUGCAGCGGAAACCACUAAAAGUACUCACAUUUGCAUUUACUCAUGUGGGAUUCCGAAUGAAAAUGGAGGAACUCAGCCUAAGACUGAUCGACUUAUCAGGGAGUCGUAAGUACGUGCAGUUAGAUGUUAGAGAGAAGAAAUGAGCUGCGCACAUUUUCAUGCAGUGAACAUACCACAAGAGCGGCGAGAAUGCAUGUGUUUCAAAUGCAAUCACAAGACGAAGCCGGUCAAAACUGCCACUUCUGAUUAUUUGUACUCAAGGGGCGCAUUUGAAUCUCUGCAUGAACAGGGAGAUAUUCAAAUUCUGGUUAUUCAACG